UAUAGAGUUUUCUCUCUUUUUUUUAAUAUAAUUUAAAAACAGUUAUGUUACUUAUUUCAAUGUACAGAUUGCAUUCGUUUUUUAUAUAGAAAUAAACCUAUGUGUGUUGAUUCUUUUAAUAUCUUCUUUCUUUUCUUUUCGUUUCGUUUUAAUAUUUAUUUAUUUCGUUUCUCAUUUAUGUUUUUAUUUUUGCCUGUAUAAAACUUUCCCCACUAAAUGUUUACAGCUUACUUGAUUGCUUGCCGAUAAUCCGAGAUUCGAUCUUGCUUAAGUAUUUUAUCCACAUGUUCUCUGGAGUGGUCUACGAUUUUAUAAAAAAAAAACACGAAGGAGAUUCACAAUAUUUAUAUACGAUUUUUUUUAUUUACAAUCUCUAAGCAGGGACUGAGGACCGAGGACUGAGGACUAAGAGGAUGGCCAGGGCCUCACUGGUCCACAGAUCGACCCUGGCGCAACCUUCGCGCUAACGGGGGGCUGGUUUCGGUUUCGGGGACUCGCGAUACUGUAUUCCUAAAUAUAUAAUGUAGACAGUGGCAGUUUCUUUUAUAGUUUUGUUUCGAUGCUUUUAAGGAUGGUUUCUUAUGGGAUGAUGGUUGGGGCAGGUUGGGGGUAUUGGGCUACUGCUUUGACCAGCACAAGCAAUCAAUGAAAUGGACCGCAGUCUGAUGAUGAUCCUCGCUAGUAAAGGGGCUUUGUCCCGCGAAACGUAAAUAAAAGAUCAUUAACUCAAUAAAUUCCAAAUGGAUCAGAUAGAAAUAUUUUUGUGAUAAAUUUCUUAUAAAUUGUAAUCACCACAAAAUGUGGCAAAAAUCUGGAGUAAAUUCCCUCUUAAGCUGUGGAGUUUUUAAUUUACAGAAAUGUUAAGAAAUUGCAUAAAUAAAAUAACAAUGCUAACGUUAAUAAAUGUUUUACAUUUGAGCUCUGUAAAUGUUUUGCAGUUUUCGGAAAGGUGUAGUUUUGGUUCCCGAAUAAAUAAAAAAUUAAUGUGUGACAAAUAAAACAAACUUUAAUUAUUUUGUGUUUUUGUUUUUUUUUCGCUUUUUUUUUGUUGCGUUUUGAAAUAAAUCCAAAAAACCAUAUUUAUUCAAAACUGCAUUAGGUGUAUAUAUAAAAAUUUUUUUUUCCAUCUUUUUUUUUUUGGGCGUGUAUAAAUAUAGAACUUGAUGUUUUUAAAAAAAUAUUUAUGUUUCAUAGACAUA